CCAAUAUUGUUCUUGAUUUUUAAUAACCAGUUAAGCAAACAUUCAACAUAAGACCUUAAAUGUGUUUCUAGUCCUUGUUCUUUACCUAGAUCUUGUCUUGUAAAUGAUGGUGAUAAAC
rnacentral:snoRNA from 1 species